rnacentral:lncRNA from 1 species
AAGCAGGGACAAACAGGAAAUUGCUCUCUCUUCAUUUCUGCGGAGAUGCUGCACAGUCACGAUGUGUAGCAGGCAAAGGAGCUGCAUGUCUGGCGUUCUUGGAUGUGAACUUGGGUCGUCAGUCUCCACCACCAAGUCUCUGGAACUCUGUGGAGCACCUCCAGGAAGCCCAAAGAAGAGAAGAUGCGAGGCACAUUGGCACGGUGCCGCCCUCUUUCCACCUCAGCUGAGAGCCUUGCUUUAAUGGUGUGUGAUCUGGGAUAGACUCUAAUCCCAAGCCUCUGGCACAGUUGUGUAGCAGUUUCCACAGAAAUUAAAACUUUCUGUCUUGAGGGGAAGCUUGUCAAGACACAGCCUGUUGAAGGGGAGGUGAAACA